UAGGACCUGUGCUGUAGAAGGAAUGUGGUAAGCCUUAAAGAUGCAACCUCUGUCUCAAGAGUUCAAGAGCAUUUGGAGGCUGCAUGAUUUCCAAGUGAUAGAAACUGCUGUGCACGAUUUCUCGAGGCAGCACUGGAGACAGCUGAGGUGGAGGGAGAUCCGAGCGAGCCCACACUGGUAACAACCAUUCCUCCCAACCUCGACGUUCCUAAUUCUCAGAACCCUGGACAGUUCACAGGAUCUACCCACCAGGGGCCUCGGAAUCAGAACACAGCCUAAGACUAAAUUCCAUUCUUGUCUGAAAACCUGGCACUUAGGACAGAUGUAAUUGAGUCAGAAGGAUGAAGAAAUGAGUCCCACACUGCCCGUCUCCAGGACAUAUUCAAAGUGUGCAAAGAAAGAAACUUAACAGCAGUAAAGAUUCCAUCCAGACGUACCUGGCUCCUGUGAGGUCUACGUACCAUCAUAUCUGCGCUUCACAAAGGUUUCCAGAGAAUCAUUUUUUAAAAGCCAUAAAAUGCUCUUGUACAAAUCAUGGAAAACUGUUGUUCUGACAACAUAAAUGUUCUGUGCAUCAAAAACCACAUUAAAAUUAUCCAAGC